CUGUAAUACAAAAGGCAGCAUUAGUUCCAGAAUGGAGACAAACAGGUUACACGAAGAAUGACUGCUGUGGAAGGAUGAUGCAGAGAAGAAAUUAACAAGCUGCUCAGUCCUGGCCUAACAUCAUUUAAGAAGAGUACCAGGACCCAGGAAAAUGCAUUGGACUUCAGAUUUCUUUCUGGAGAUGGGGAAGAUGUGAUCAACAAUUUCUUAAACUAAGAUAAGGUGAUAUCUUUGUAAUAGAUGUAGAGCUAAAUUGACACACUGUAUUUUAUAAAGCUAGCCCACAGGUGACAGGUUGUACUACUAUAUCUGCAAUUUGUAUGUGUGUUAUGGUGAGUCAGAGCACCUAUUUGUUGCUACUGUGGGAUUCCUUUGACCAGCUUCUGAAGAAAGUAACUAGAGAGGGCACCCAAAAUAUUUUCCCAGACUAUCAAUUCUGUAAGUGACAGCAUUCCUCCUGCAGUAUGAGCAGGAGAACAUUCCAGAUCUUGUAUGCUCUAGCAGAAAUUAUAAAAAGAAGAAGGUCUUUGGAGGAAGAGCAAUGGGAGGGCCUCAUGCCUUUUCCAGAGUGUUGAACCCCUCACAGGUGGCAUGCUGAAAGAAUAAUUAGAGCAUACUGUAUACAAUUUGUCAUGGAGUGCAAAAAAAAACCCUAUCUUUACCCUCUUUGUUUUCAUGAUUAUUACUGAGCAAAGAGUAAAUAGGCAUGAAUAGAGGCAAAUUAAGUAAAUCUUUAAAAUUGCAAAGGUUAAAUCUCUGCAGUGUUCAAAAGCUGUUUCUAGUAUGAAGCAAUUAAAACUGAAACUAAUUUAUACAAUCAAGGUGAGUGAAAAAUUUUAACUGUGACCUAUAGUUAUGUCAGAUCAAAAAUCACAACUAUGUACCAUAUAUGAGAGGCUGAAAUGUCAAAGGCUAAUGACUCAAACAACUGGCUAUUUGCAAAAGCAGUGGCUACUUUGCUGAGGCCAGGUUUGCAGCCCCAAACUGAAGGGGAGGAGGAGAGGCUUGGCUGUGUGGUGAUAAAAAUUCUGAUCCACAUGAAACAAAGGGGUCAGCACCCACUACCAGAGUAUGAGCAUGAUGAAUUCAUUUUUUAUAUACAAAAUGACCGAGCCCCAGAAUUAUUGUGUACUUGAUAGCCUGCAACUAAUGCCUUAAACAAGCUGUUUUCUGGCCAGAUAAGGAAAAAGAUCAAUAAGAUGCAGAUUCUUCUGAGGUGGUGUGAUGCUUUUCUCAUGCCAUUUACCCUCUGAUAGGCACUGCUGACUCUACUAAAGUGAGAGAAGCAGGGCAAAGCAGCAGUCAUGUCAUUGAAAAGUGCUAUAAGCCACCAGAGACCACUGAAACACCCCCAGGCUCAUUUCUGGGACCUUCCACCAUAGAACUUAGCACAAUCCACAGUGUUGUAAAAGGCAGUGUGAAAGUUUAUCUGCUCACAGGAGGUACCUGAGCAUUCCCACCCAAACCCGAAUGUAGGUCAAACCAUUGAACUUUGUGUUUCAUGGGCUUCCCCCACCCUCAAGGGAUAAAGAUUGCACCCAUCACUUCAAUCAAUGGACCUCAAAACUGUCACAUUUGAGUCUCAUCACUGCUUCCAUGGGUGGUAACAUCUUCCUCUCCACUUUCUACUUUUAUCCUUUCUUUCUCUUUCUUUCUUUCCCCUAUGUAUUUUCUUAAGCAAUAUUUUUAUACUUCUAUGUUGCUAUAUAAUAAAUAAAACAGUUACAUACCUGCUUUCUAUUUCAAUCAAAUUGUUCUGAAAUAAAACUAUAUAUAGAUAUAUAAAGGUA